rnacentral:rRNA from 1 species
UACGGAAGGGGCUAGCGUUGUUCGGAAUUACUGGGCGUAAAGCGCGCGUAGGCGGCCAUGCAAGUGAGGCGUGAAAGGCCAGGGCUCAACCUGGGCACUGCGCUUCAGACUGCACGGCUUGAGUCCGGGAGAGGGUGGUGGAGUUCCCAGGGUAGGGGUGAACUUCGUAGAUAUUGGGAGGAACACCAGUGGCGAAGGCGGCCACCUGGCCCGGUACUGACGCUCAAGUGCGAAAGCGUGGGCGGCAAACAGG